CCUACGGGAGGCAGCAGUGGGGAAUAUUGCACAAUGGGGGAAACCCUGAUCCAGCGACGCCGCGUGCGGGAAGAAGUAACUCGUUAUGUAAAGCUCUUUUAGCACGGAAGAAAAUGUCGGUACCUGAGUAAGAAGCCCCGGCUAACUACGUGCCAGCAGCCGCGGUUAUACGUAGGGGGCAGGCGUUAUCCGGAUUUACCGGGUGUUAGGGGAGCGUAGUCGGGAUGGCAAGUCUGGAGUGAAAGGCGCGGGCUCAACCCCCGGACUGCUCUGAAAACUGUAGGGCUUGAGUGCAGGUGAGGUAGGUGGAAUGCGUGGUGUAGCGGUGAAAUGCUUAGAUAUUAGGAAGAACACCGAUGGCGAAGGCAGCUUACUGAACUGGAACUGACGUUGAGGCUCGAAAGCGUGGGGAGCAAACAGGAUUAGAUACCCGGGUAGUC
rnacentral:rRNA from 1 species